rnacentral:rRNA from 1 species
GACGAACGCUGGCGGCGUGCUUAACACAUGCAAGUCGAACGGAAAGGCCCUGCUUUUGUGGGGUGCUCGAGUGGCGAACGGGUGAGUAACACGUGAGUAACCUGCCCUUGACUUUGGGAUAACUUCAGGAAACUGGGGCUAAUACCGGAUAGGAGCUCCUGCUGCAUGGUGGGGGUUGGAAAGUUUCGGCGGUUGGGGAUGGACUCGCGGCUUAUCAGCUUGUUGGUGGGGUAGUGGCUUACCAAGGCUUUGACGGGUAGCCGGCCUGAGAGGGUGACCGGCCACAUUGGGACUGAGAUACGGCCCAGACUCCUACGGGAGGCAGCAGUGGGGAAUAUUGCACAAUGGGCGGAAGCCUGAUGCAGCAACGCCGCGUGCGGGAUGACGGCCUUCGGGUUGUAAACCGCUUUCGCCUGUGACGAAGCGUGAGUGACGGUAAUGGGUAAAGAAGCACCGGCUAACUACGUGCCAGCAGCCGCGGUGAUACGUAGGGUGCGAGCGUUGUCCGGAUUUAUUGGGCGUAAAGGGCUCGUAGGUGGUUGAUCGCGUCGGAAGUGUAAUCUUGGGGCUUAACCCUGAGCGUGCUUUCGAUACGGGUUGACUUGAGGAAGGUAGGGGAGAAUGGAAUUCCUGGUGGAGCGGUGGAAUGCGCAGAUAUCAGGAGGAACACCAGUGGCGAAGGCGGUUCUCUGGGCCUUCCCUGACGCUGAGGAGCGAAAGGCGUGGGGAGCGAACAGGCUUAGAUACCCUGGUAGUCCACGCUGUAAACGGUGGGUACUAGGUGUGGGGUCCAUUCCACGGGUUCCGUGCCGUAGCUAACGCUUUAAGUACCCCGCCUGGGGAGUACGGCCGCAAGGCUAAAACUCAAAGGAAUUGACGGGGCCCCGCACAAGCGGCGGAGCAUGCGGAUUAAUUCGAUGCAACGCGUAGAACCUUACCUGGGUUUGACAUGGAUCGGGAGUGCUCAGAGAUGGGUGUGCCUCUUUUGGGGUCGGUUCACAGGUGGUGCAUGGCUGUCGUCAGCUCGUGUCGUGAGAUGUUGGGUUAAGUCCCGCAACGAGCGCAACCCUUGUUCACUGUUGCCAGCACGUUAUGGUGGGGACUCAGUGGAGACCGCCGGGGUCAACUCGGAGGAAGGUGGGGAUGACGUCAAGUCAUCAUGCCCCUUAUGUCCAGGGCUUCACGCAUGCUACAAUGGCUGGUACAGAGAGUGGCGAGCCUGUGAGGGUGAGCGAAUCUCGGAAAGCCGGUCUCAGUUCGGAUUGGGGUCUGCAACUCGACCUCAUGAAGUCGGAGUCGCUAGUAAUCGCAGAUCAGCAACGCUGCGGUGAAUACGUUCCCGGG